AUAACGACUCUCGGCAACGGAUAUCUCGGCUCUCGCAUCGAUGAAGAACGUAGCGAAAUGCGAUACUUGGUGUGAAUUGCAGAAUCCCGUGAACCAUCGAGUCUUUGAACGCAAGUUGCGCCCGAAGNCAUUAGGCCGAGGGCACGCCUGCCUGGGUGUCUCGCA
rnacentral:rRNA from 1 species